UACCCACUGGUCCCAAUUUUGUACUUAGAUCUAAGCAGAAUGUCUGAUCCCUUUUCCACAUGAUCAUCUUUCAUCUAUUUGAAAAUUGAUAUAAAACCAUUAUGAUAUAGCAUGAAAAUAUGAAUCUGAAGUCAUGGAACCUGUGGCUGGUUGAAUUCUGUUUCUGUUGCUUAUUGUCUUGGGCAGUAACUGUUGCUUAUUGAACCUUGGGCAAGUCACUGUGGGCCUCAGUUGGACUCCAUGAACUCUAAGAGUUUUCUAUAAAAAAUAAGAAACUAUAUGUAUAAUCCAGUGAAAUUGUUUGUCAACUCCAGGAGGAAGGAGAGAAGACAAGAGGAAGAUGACAAGAAUGUAACCAUGGGAAAAAUUUUUUUGAAAAAAGAAGCUCAUUUUUCUUAGGAAAGUAACAAAAAUAUUUGUUAACAGAAGAUAAAAAAUGAAGACAUGAUGAUGAUGUUCUGAGAACCCUAAGGAACCCUAAGACCUCUUGUGUCCUCCCAUAGUUUAGAUGGGAGUCCAGUCAAAGGGUAGAGUUGAUAUUGAUCAAAAUGUAUUUUCAAAUGGAAUAGGGGAUACAGUUUAUAUUAAAUCCACCCAAGUUUACCAGUUUACCAGGCUGAAGACAGGAUAUCUUUGCCUACAUGAAGAAUUUCCUGAUUCUCCUCUUCCCCUUACCCUAGGUAUUAAUUAAUUUUACUUAAUUCAAAUUUAAUUUCAACUCAAUAAAUAAUAAUUUAUUUUUACUGGUGUAUUUUUU
rnacentral:lncRNA from 1 species